GACGAACGCUGGCGGCGUGCUUAACACAUGCAAGUCGAACGGAAAGGCCCUGCUUUUGUGGGGUGCUCGAGUGGCGAACGGGUGAGUAACACGUGAGUAACCUGCCCUUGACUUUGGGAUAACUUCAGGAAACUGGGGCUAAUACCGGAUAGGAGCUCCUGCUGCAUGGUGGGGGUUGGAAAGUUUCGGCGGUUGGGGAUGGACUCGCGGCUUAUCAGCUUGUUGGUGGGGUAGUGGCUUACCAAGGCUUUGACGGGUAGCCGGCCUGAGAGGGUGACCGGCCACAUUGGGACUGAGAGACGGCCCAGACUCCUACGGGAGGCAGCAGUGGGGAAUAUUGCACAAUGGGCGGAAGCCUGAUGCAACAACGCCGCGUGCGGGAUGACGGCCUUCGGGUUGUAAACCGCUUUCGCCUGUGACGAAGCGUGAGUGACGGUAAUGGGUAAAGAAGCACCAGCUAACUACGUG
rnacentral:rRNA from 1 species